rnacentral:rRNA from 1 species
UACGUAGGGCGCAAGCGUUGUCCGGAAUUAUUGGGCGUAAAGAGCUCGUAGGCGGCUUGUCACGUCGGGUGUGAAAGCCCGGGGCUUAACCCCGGGUCUGCAUUCGAUACGGGCAGGCUAGAGUGUGGUAGGGGAGAUCGGAAUUCCUGGUGUAGCGGUGAAAUGUGUAGAGAUCGGGAGGAACACCGGUGGCGAAGGCGGUCUUCUGGACGGUGACUGACGCUGAGGCGCGAAAGCGUGGGGAGCAAACGGG